UCCUAGGAAAGCUGAGUAUAGAAAUCCUAGAGUGGAUAUCAGCCCUAAAACAGCUGAGCUUAGAAAUCACAGAUGAACAUUAAAAUGUCUCUUAUCUCCAUCUGUCCACUUUUUAACUUUUUUUUAAUAUAGUUGUAGCCAUUCCACAAUCGUCAAGCCCUUAAACCCCUUUGGUCCAUCCAUUCCUACCUACCUCUGGCAUUUGCGGACAUUGGAAUAGGGAGGCAAGAGCUGAGAACUGAAGUCCUAUUGGCUGAAGUUGCAUUUCAUCCCUCACCCCUGGUGCUGGCUUCCCAGGAAUACAUCAGAUGUAUGUGUUAUGCUUCUGUUCCUCACAUAUGUUAUGCAUGUUGCAUUUGUAACAUAACUUUCUACUCUCUUGCUAUAUUGGUUCCAUGGGUCAUACAUGUACAAGAUAUCCAGAUUCAAAUUUUCUAGUAUCAGUCCAAGUACGUACCUCCCAACUUAUGGAGCAUUCAUCUAAUGCAUUGUUCAUGGACAUCCUUGCAUGGUCACGGUGGUGUCAUCAAUCCUGCAGGGGCACUGAAGUAUGGCAGUCUAGCAAGCUUCACGGAAUGGAUGCCUUGAGUCUUGUUUGAGGAUUUGCUGGACUGGGUCAUGAACAGACAGCUUCAGCCAAUCGAGGGCUGCUUUCAGUGGAUGGAAGAUUCAUUGCUCCUUUUGAUGCUGACCACCGUGCCAACACAGACUUCCACGCCUUCAACACUGGUGGGGAGAGGUCUGUGGUGACAUGGGCCCCUUCAACAUUGGCAGUGGAAAUGUUUGAGGCUCUGUGAACUGGGGACUCUGUCUAGUGCCAUUUCUCAUCACCAUUUCUUCCCUUACUCUUUGUCCUACACCCUCUCACCUAUUUCCCACCUCAAAUACCCUCUUAUAAAAAAAAUUGAAAAAUGAGGGGGGGGGGUCGAUCAAUCACCAAAAUGUAGUGCUCCUCCUAUGCUGGUUGUCUUUGUUGUGUCUCCUUAUUUCCAUUCUUUAAAGCAAACAACAAGAAGUCCACAUAUGGCUACUCCUAUAUAAAAUAUUUCAAAUACCUUAAUUUUUGAAACAAAAUAUUAAUAAUAAAAGCUACACAGUCCACAAUUUGCCUUAUGUCUUUCAAGCAUGACUGCGUAUAGCAGUGCCCAUCUGCAAUACCUGAAUACGUUCAAAGUAAUACGAAGCCUAAGGCUUUCACAAUGUACUUUGUGUGUACUUAACACUUAACUUUAGGUACUUUGUGCUUCUGCCAUAACUAGGUGCAUUUAUUUGGUAUGAAUAACCUGUGUGUAGCUUAUUUGCAUAUAUGUGUAGUGCCACUCUUUGCAGAUAACAGCUAUGUAGCUAUGAAGUCCCGGAGUAUGAGUACCCCUCCAUAAUUAAUAAAAGACAUACAAUUUAAAAUGUGUAGCUAGUUUUAGUCAUUAUGAGCAACCCAGACCAUCAAAAGCCAGUAUAAAAAGAUAAUUUUUGAGUACUUGUCUAAAACUGGCCAAUGAUGGGCACUCUCUGAGCCAGUACGGUGGCAAGUUUUUCGGAGGAGGAACUUGAUAGGAAAAUGUUCUGUAACCCAAGGACUCAAGACUAACUUGUGAAACUGCCAGCACACCCUAAGAGUCAGAACUCAACAUCCACAUAGUGCAUCAGGAUACAGCAAGCUCUUUCAGGUAACAGGGGUCCAGGUUGGGAAUGGAUAAUGAACUAACACUAGAAUAUUGAUUAUCCUGUAACAAACAGGAAGUCAAUGAAUGCUGCACAGAACAGGCACAAUAUGCUGAUAAAAAUCAUACCAGUAUGUUGGCUAGCUUCAGACUUCUACACCAUCUAUGCAUAUUAAGCUCAAUGUUAGGUAGGCUCAGGUAAAGGGCAUUGCAGUAAUAUUGUCUGAAAGAGGUCAAGGCGUGAAAAGCAACUGAAGGAUAUGCUUGAGGUAUGAAAUGGUUAAUCCUGAAGAUGCUUCACAAAUGGGAACGAAAAUACUUCACAACAGCAGACACCUGGUCCUUAUAUAUUUGCCGUGGGUCAAGAAUAAUACAAAUGUGUCACACAGACACACACACACACACACACACACACACACACACACACACACACACACACACACACACACACACACACACACACACGCACGCACACAUCCAUUUGUCAAUAAACAAACCUCUCUUGGUCCAUCACUAUUACAGAAAAUACUCACCAAUACACACACACACAGCCACACACACCCACACACACACACACACACACACACAC